CUUCCCAAGUGCUUAGUACAGUGUUCUGCACACAAUGAGGAAAGCCUAUCCUGUUUCCAUCCCUCUGUUCCUGCUUAAACCUGAACACUCUGACAUGCCUGACAACCUUGGAAUGCAAGAUCCCACAAGAGAUGAGCAAAUUCUGCAUCAAGGCAUCCCAGUGGCUAUGUGAAACUGGAAAAUUUCCCUGAGCAGGAUCUAGGAAUGCCAAGACUUCACCUGCAGCACUACUCGGG